rnacentral:rRNA from 1 species
CCGGCACGGGUGAGUAACACGUAUGCAAUCCACCUGUAACAGGGGGAUAACCCGGAGAAAUCCGGACUAAUACCCCAUAAUAUGGGCGCUCCGCAUGGAGAGCCCAUUAAAGAGAGCAAUUUUGGUUACAGACGAGCAUGCGCUCCAUUAGCCAGUUGGCGGGGUAACGGCCCACCAAGCACGAUGGAUAGGGGUUCUGAGAGGAAGGUCCCCCACAUUGGAACUGAGACACGGUCCAA